GAGGCAGUACGACGGCCGCUCAACGCUCGCCGGACUCAUAAUCCGUCGGCCGUGGGUUCGAGUCCCACCCGCCCCACCA
rnacentral:tRNA from 1 species